CCCCUCACCCAGCCUCCCCCCCCCAACAACCUAGAAUCACCCCAAGACUCCAGAUCCCAGGGAAAAGGAGAAAAAAAGAGGACAUUUGCAAAUUAAUCUUUCAACCAGCAAUUACUGUGAUUAUACAGUGUGCAUGCGAAAGUCUGGAAAGCCUUUCCUGGUCCGGCUCAUGUUUCAAAUACUCUUUCUCUCUCUCCCUCUCACUCAUCCUCUGCAGCCUAUGUUGAGUUUGUUUUCCUCCUUGACGGAGUUAACGUUUCGGCUAAACGUUUAGCCUCGACGGCUAAGCGUUUUGUAGGAUUCAUUUUGGCAGAUGUCAACACUUUAAAUUGGUAGCGAGCCAUUUGAGCCUUGCUGGAUAACACUGUCAAUGUAAAUUUAAUCCGUUCACUCAUUCCCUCCCAGUCUCUCUGCAUCCCUCUCACACUCUCUCUCAUUCUUUUUCUCUCUCUCUUUCGCUUUCUCUGGCUCGAUUCUUGUGUGAAAUCUCGGAGUGUUUUUGAGCGUGGGAAGGAGGGGCUGAUUUCCAUGCGGCGAACUCCCACAGAGACCCUCCCGGUGAUGAGAGAUGAGAAAUGAAAGGCAACAUGAACGCACAUCAAGCGAGGAGAAUCCUCACCCACGCAGACCUCGGGUGCAGCAGAGCCACGGUGCCGUUGAAAUCCAGUGGAAGUAAGAAGUCGAGCAAAAUG